rnacentral:rRNA from 1 species
CCUACGGGUGGCUGCAGUGGGGAAUAUUGGACAAUGGGGGGAACCCUGAUCCAGCCAUGCCGUGUGUGUGAAGAAGGCCCUCGGGUUGUAAAGCACUUUCAGUGAGGAAGAACGCCUGGUGGUUAAUACCCAUCAGGAAAGACAUCACUCACAGAAGAAGCACCGGCUAACUCCGUGCCAGCAGCCGCGGUAAUACGGAGGGUGCGAGCGUUAAUCGGAAUUACUGGGCGUAAAGCGCGCGUAGGUGGCUUGAUAAGCCGGUUGUGAAAGCCCCGGGCUCAACCUGGGAACGGCAUCCGGAACUGUCAAGCUAGAGUGCAGGAGAGGAAGGUAGAAUUCCCGGUGUAGCGGUGAAAUGCGUAGAGAUCGGGAGGAAUACCAGUGGCGAAGGCGGCCUUCUGGACUGACACUGACACUGAGGUGCGAAAGCGUGGGUAGCAAACAGGAUUAGAUACCCGUGUAGUC